rnacentral:rRNA from 1 species
UGGGGAAUAUUGCACAAUGGGGGAAACCCGUGAUGCAGCAACGCCGCGUGAGUGAAGAAGUAUUUCGGUAUGUAAAGCUCUAUCAGCAGGAAAGAAAAUGACGGUACCUGACUAAGAAGCCCCGGCUAACUACGUGCCAGCAGCCGCGGUAAUACGUAGGGGCAAGCGUUAUCCGGAUUUACUGGGUGUAAAGGGAGCGUAGACGGUUUUGCAAGUCUGAAGUGAAAGCCCGGGGCUUAACCCCGGGACUGCUUUGGAAACUGUAGGACUAGAGUGCAGGAGAGGUAAGUGGAAUUCCUAGUGUAGCGGUGAAAUGCGUAGAUAUUA